rnacentral:rRNA from 1 species
UAUCUCUGUAGAGUCUGCAUAUCAAUAAGCGGAGGAAAAGAAACUAACAAGGAUUCCCCUAGUAACAGCGAGUGAAGCGGGAAGAGCUCAAAUUUGAAAUCUUCAAGGUUUGACCUUGACGAAUUGUAGUUUAAAGAAGUGUUUUCGGUUAGAGGAGUAGUAAAAGUUCUUUGGAAUAGGACAUCAUAGAGGGUGAGAAUCCCGUAUUUGACUAUUCUUUCUAGCUUUGUGAUACACUUUCAAAGAGUCGGAUUGUUUGGGAAUGCAGUCCAAAAUGGGUGGUAAAUUUCAUCUAAAGCUAAAUAUUGGCGAGAGACCGAUAGCGAACAAGUACCGUGAGGGAAAGAUGAAAAGAACUUUGAAAAGAGAGUUAAACAGUACGUGAAAUUGUCAAAAGGGAAGCGUUUGACACCAGUGUUGUUUUUCCGAAAAUCAAUUAAAAAUUGAUUCAUGCCAGGUUGUAUUGACCUUAUCAGCUUGCAAUUUGGUUUUGGGUCUCUUUUUGAUGCACUUUUCGGUUAACAAGUCAACAUCAAUUUCCUUUGCUGUAAAAAGGUAAGAGGAAGGUGGCUUCAAUUUCGGUUGAAGUGUUUAUAGCCUUUUAUCUCUGCAGUCGGGGAGAUUGAGGUCUGCAGCGUAGAUCCUUCGGGGCUAGAUACAUUUAUGCUAAGUUAUAGCUUUUCAUAGACAACUUGUUGACUAUGUUUAGUCAUGUAGCUUACUCGUAAGUGCUAUUUUACCUACGCUUAGGAUGUUGACACACGCGCGUGCUCGGCUCUAUACAUGACUCUGCGCAUAUCAAUAAGCGGAGGAAAAGGCUGCGGAACUGAACGACCGCUACCUACGCUUAGGAUGUUGAGCGCAUGUCUCUCUCU